AAUCCAUAGGUUAAUGAGGCGAACCGGGGGAACUGAAACAUCUAAGUACCCCGAGGAAAAGAAAUCAACCGAGAUUCCCCCAGUAGCGGCGAGCGAACGGGGAGGAGCCCAGAGCCUGAAUCAGCAUGUGUGUUAGUGGAAGCGUCUGGAAAGGCGCGCGAUACAGGGUGACAGCCCCGUACACAAAAGCGCAUGUGCUGUGAGCUCGAUGAGUAGGGCGGGACACGUGGUAUCCUGUCUGAAUAUGGGGGGACCAUCCUCCAAGGCUAAAUACUCCUGACUGACCGAUAGUGAACCAGUACCGUGAGGGAAAGGCGAAAAGAACCCCGGCGAGGGGAGUGAAAAAGAACCUGAAACCGUGUACGUACAAGCAGUGGGAGCACCCUUUGGGUGUGACUGCGUACCUUUUGUAUAAUGGGUCAGCGACUUAUAUUCUGUAGCAAGGUUAACCGAAUAGGGGAGCCGGAGGGAAACCGAGUCUUAACCGGGCGUUAAGUUGCAGGGUAUAGACCCGAAACCCGGUGAUCUAGCCAUGGGCAGGUUGAAGGUUGGGUAACACUAACUGGAGGACCGAACCGACUAAUGUUGAAAAAUUAGCGGAUGACCUGUGGCUGGGGGUGAAAGGCCAAUCAAACCGGGAGAUAGCUGGUUCUCCCCGAAAGCUAUUUAGGUAGCGCCUCGUGAAUUCAUCUCCGGGGGUAGAGCACUGUUUCGGCUAGGGGGCCAUCCCGGCUUACCAACCCGAUGCAAACUGCGAAUACCGGAGAAUGUUAUCACGGGAGACACACGGCGGGUGCUAACGUCCGUCGUGAAGAGGGAAACAACCCAGACCGCCAGCUAAGGUCCCAAAGUCAUGGUUAAGUGGGAAACGAUGUGGGAAGGCCCAGACAGCCAGGAUGUUGGCUUAGAAGCAGCCAUCAUUUAAAGAAAGCGUAAUAGCUCACUGGUCGAGUCGGCCUGCGCGGAAGAUGUAACGGGGCUAAACCAUGCACCGAAGCUGC
rnacentral:rRNA from 3 species